GUAUGUUGUGACAAUGGGCAAAAUAUUCAACUGCUCCAAUGGGCUGAAUGAAAAUAUGAAAAUAA